rnacentral:lncRNA from 1 species
UGUAGGGGCUGAUAGUUCUCAUGAGUGUUACUGCUCUUCUUUCCCACAGUUAAAAGAAUAUUGGCAGAGAAACAGCCUUGGUGUUCCAGCAGGAGUGAAGAGGAACAGGAAAACGAGUGGCAGUAGCCCUGAAACAGCCACUUCUGGUGGUUGCCACUCACCUGAGGAUGUGAGUCUUGGCAGGCCAGGCUUCUGGGGACAGGGGGCCCAAGGCACAGUAGACGGUAAUUUUUAAGAUUAUGGAUGGACUGUUGGGUACUGGUUAAGAAUUCUGGGUUUGGCCAGGCACAGUGGCUCAUGCCUGUAAUCCCAGCACUUUGGGAGACUGAGGCCGGUGGAUCACGAGCUCAGGAAAUUGAGACCAUCCUGGCUAACACGGUGAAACCCUGUCUCUCCUAAAAAUACAAAAAAAUUAGCCAGGCUUGGUGAUGGGUGCCUGUAGUCCCAGCUACUCGGGAGGCUGAGGCAGGAGAAUGGUGUGAACCUGGGAGGCGGAGCUUGCAGUGAGUUGACAUUGUGCCACCACACUCCAGCCUGGGAGACAAAGCGAGACUCCAUCUCAGAAAAAAAAAAAAAAAGGAAUUCUGGGUUUGAAUCCUGCCUCUCCGUCUGCUAGGGAUAUGAUUUAGGGCAAGUUGCUUGAGCUCUUUGGGCCUCUCUUAUUACAUCUGCAUAAUAGAGGUGGUAUUGUUUGACUUCCAUUUGUGAAGUUUAAAUGAGAUUUUUUUAUUGUUGUUUUUAUGUUAAUCCCUAGUACAUGGCCUGCUGUAAACACCCAGGACACCCAGGAUAUGGUCAUUGCUCUUUGAUUUUCCUCAUCCCCAGUCUCAAGGGGAAGCCAGGACAAUGAGAACAGCCACUUGCCAUCAAGAGUCACUGAAAGGGCCUCAGGGUGGGAUGGUGGGGGGAUAAGAACCAUGAGAGAAGUCGGCACAAAGGAGUUAUGGGACAAAGCGUCCAAGAUAGGCAGAAAAGAAAAUGUAGCCAGUUGAUGGGGAAGAAAGGAAGUCAGAGGGCUUAGACACUGAGGGGGACAGAACAUCUCCAUGUGCAUUCUCAUCUCUGGUAGUCAGCAACAGGUAUCCACGGGGAGGGCCCUACAUCAUCUGCUACCCUGAAGGAUCUGGAGGUAAGAGGCUCUGGGGAGAGGUGCAGUGACCCUGCAGGCCAGCCCUCCAACCUCCUCCCACAGUGGACACGGCAUGCCCCUCUGCCAGCUGAGACAGCCCACACACACCCCAGCCUUAAUGAUUGUUCUCUCUACCUCUCCCCCACUCCUCCUCCACCUCCUCGUCUCUGCAUGCACCUCAGAGCCCAUGCCAAGAACUAGCAGUAGUCCUGGACCCGAGGUCCAUAAAAAUCAGUCAACUGAAUAACACCAUCAAAUCUUUGG